rnacentral:rRNA from 1 species
GACAGAGGUGCCGAGCGUUAGGCGGAAUCACUGGGCUUAAAGCGUGUGUAGGCGGGUCGUUAAGUGUCUUGUGAAAUCCCACCGCUCAACGGUGGAACCGCUGGGCAUACUGGCGAUCUUGAGCAGUCCAGGGGCGAGCGGAACAAGCGGUGGAGCGGUGAAAUGCGUAGAUAUCAGGAGGAACACCGGUGGCGAAGGCGGGUCUCUGGGCCGAAACUGACGCUGAGGAGCGAAAGCGUGGGGAGCGAACAGG